GGGAGAAGAAGGGCCCCUCCAAGCCCGUGUCCUCCAGCAAGUCCCCAGCCAAGAGCGGCAGCGAGAGCUUCAAGAGCAAAGAGUUUGUGUCCAGUGAUGAGAGCUCCUCGGCCGAGAGCAAGAAGGAGGACUCGGAGGAGGAGGGGGCAGCCAGCCCAGCCCCCAGCUCGGAGGAGUCGGCGUCCGGCUCGGAUUGACCUCCCUGUGGAUGAGCCCCCUGGGAUGAGCCCCCUCGUGGAGCAGCCCCCACAGGAUGAGCCCCUCCCCGGCCGGCCCCAGGCCUGUUCCGAGGGGGGGCUGAGAGGGGUGACCCCUGACACCCCAGGGAGUGGGGCAGGCGACCUCCGGCCCCCCCAGCCCAGCCCUCAGCGCCGGGCGGGUGAGUGGGACCCCCCGUGGGGGGGCCCUGGGUGCUUUCCCCCCCAGCCCCAUUUUGCAUCAAUUUAUUUUUUUUACACA